rnacentral:snoRNA from 1 species
AGCAGGUUCCUUAGAUCCGCAUUCGUUUGUCCAUCGAAAGCGCUUGAGUCAUAAACUUGCAAGACUAAAAGUUUUGGAUUCUGAAAUUAUCAUUAAAGGAAUUUCAUCCAUAAAGAGUGAUUGUUUAAAAGGAAUCUGAAAAGA